rnacentral:rRNA from 1 species
GUCUACAGCCAUGCAACCCUGAACAAGCCCGAUCCCGUCUGACCUCGGAAGCUAAGCAGGGUCGAGUCUGAUUAGUACUUGGAUGGGAGACCAUCUAGGAAGACCAGAUAAUGUAGGCG